CGCACUUUUAUUUUAAAUGUUCUGCCAUAUGAACGAAAGUGCCGUAACAUUUGUUGUGCAAACACUUUUAACAUCAGCAUUUUAAUACAGUAGCAGUUAAAUAAAAUAUUCAGUUUAAAUCUCAACUUAAACAAUGUUAUCAAAGCAAAUACAAAAUUAAAGCUCAUUGCCACUGCCAGGGCAUUAAUGUUAUCCUGUUUGUUAUGAAAAAGAAAAAAACUGGCAAAAAAAUCCUGAGCCACAAUCAUAUCAUUAAAACAGGCAAUUUUUGAGGUAACAGCAGAAACAUUUCACUUUCAUCAGGGAGCAGCAUAACCAGGCUAUGUUCAGUACCAAAUGUCCCUGAGUGAGAAACCAGAAAACACUUUCAGUGCAGUUUGUCAAUUCCUAGAACUUGACACUGUUAUUUUAAAUGUACUGCCAUAUGAACUAAAGUGCCAUAACAUUUGUUGUGCAAACACUUAACGUCAGCAUUUUUAUAUAGUAGCAGUUAAAUAAAAUAAAUACUUUGUGUAAUUCUCAACUUAAACAAUGUUAUCACAACAAACACAAAACUAAAGCUUAUUGCCACUGCCAAGGCAUUAAUGUUAGAGUGUGGUGAAGCACCAAAAAGUUCACUGCUGGCAGUUACUCUGCUGUACGUAGUCUGCCGAAGCCUCCCUCCACUGUCUGUUUCGUUGAAUGAUUUGCAAUUAUCACAUGUAUGUAUUUAUGUCUUUGGCGAUUUUAGCCUAACUAUCGAGAUUCUAAGUAACAUGGAGACCAAACUUUGUUUGGUACUCCACGUAGAUCAUAAACCCUUGAAUAUACAAACGACUCAAUUAAAUCGGUUGAGAAAUGUAAACGCUAUAGUGCUUUUUAUCCAGCUCCACCGCAGCUCCACCGUUCACUUGCAUUUGUUUACAGUCCAGCCUUUACCUUCCCAAGAUGGCGGCGAGUUGGCACGUCGCAGCAAUCAUAAUCAUAUAUAUACAUAUGUCUAUGGCAGCAAUGCCCUUCUCCAUGUUUGUUUAUCCGCCCAUUCUUUUCUUUUCCGGUUCCGCAGCAGUCAGCAGCAGACUUUUACAAAAUAAAAGCCUGUGAACAACAGACUUUUACAAUA
ensembl:lncRNA